AGUAAAAAUAGCACAUGUAGUAUCAAAAAUAGGCUGUUUAUUUACAGAAAAUAGCGACUAGUGGAACGAAAGCGUCGCGCCGCGACCAGGCCUUCAACUGGACACGGCAAGUAAACAAAUACAAGAAAAAUACUACAAUGUGUCAGAAAAAUAUGAAAAAAGUAGAAAAUGUAUAUUUACAUGAAACGAGUCAGAUGGCAACGUUUCGGUAAGAUACCUUCAUCAGGCCUGACUCGUUUGUAGAGUAUUAGCAGGUUAGCACGGCAGGUAGGCUAAAGUCAACCUUUUAUCCUUGCAGUGAAAACAGGUAUUGCAGGAGAAAGGUGUUAAUAGCAAUAUAACAUUUAAAUGAAGGGGUGGGGUCCACGUCAAACACAAGUUGGCCUUCAAAAUAGAAGUCUUGACCACAACACAAGUGUAAAAAGAAGACAACAGUGACCCUCUGAAGCCCCAGGAUGCUACUGCAAAAUCCUGUCUGCUAAAACAAUAACCUGAAAUGAUAGACAUUGUUAUUGUUAUAUGAUAUAUAAUAUAAUACAAUGUAAUAUGGUAUAAAUAUUAUAUAAUAUAUUAUAAUAAAUAUAUAUGUGUAUAUAUAUAUAUAUAUAUAUAUAUAUAAUAAUAAUAGACAAACACUAGUACAUUCAAAUAGAAAUAAUACAGAAAGUACCCUGGAUGUGUGACCUAGGGCUUCAGUAUUAAACAGAGAGUUGGGAGAGGAUAGUCCCAGUAAGCUCCCCUUAGUGUAAUGCUCUGAAUGUACGUAUGUGUACCGUACCCGAGGUUAGGGUUAGGGUUAGGGUUAGGGUUAGGGUUAGGUUUUAGGAUUAGGGUUGGGGUAGGUUUUAGGUAUAUAUUCCCUGUUACCUCCCCUUAAUAUGAUGCUCCGAUUGUAUAUGAGUCCCAUCCCCAGGUGAGUAUAUUUAAUGCGUUUUCUGUCUGUUUUGGCAGGUCCAGGAGGGCGAGCGAGGGAGAGUGAGAGCCGUAAGAGGAUUGGAGGCACUGGCUGGUUAGGUUUGGGGGUAGGUUUUAGGCCCCCUGGAUGUCUGGUGCCCAAUUUGGAGAUCCAAAGGAGCUCCGCCCGGUGGCGUUGGGCGAGGCUCCAUUUGGGAUCCGUCUCUACGACAGUCGCCCGGACGGAAGACCACCCGUGUCGGAGAAAAUGCUGAACCAGACUAUGAAGGGCCUCGACUUCUCCGCGUGUCAAAUUGGGAGCGACCGCAGGUGCGCAACCCGAACCGGACAUGGAGAGCCCGUCGGACCGGACCAUAGCCUGGAAUUCCGGAGGCAUA